rnacentral:rRNA from 1 species
UACGGAGGGGGCAAGCGUUGUUCGGAAUUACUGGGCUUAAAGGGCGCGUAGGCGGCUUUGUAAGUCAGGGGUGAAAGCCCGGAGCUCAACUGCGGAACUGCCUUUGAUACUGCAGAGCUUGAGAGAGGUUGAGGUCAGCGGAACUUGUCAUGUAGAGGUGAAAUGCGUAGAUAUGAGGCAGAACACCAAUGGCGAAGGCGGCUGGCUGGGCCGACUCUGACGCUGAGGUGCGAAAGCGUGGGGAGCGAACAGG